rnacentral:piRNA from 1 species
UGCUUUUGUGAGAUUCAUUUUUUAACGAAU